CGAACAGUGCUGCAGAAAAUUCAAAUAUUGUUCGGUGCAGUGUCAGGCCACCUCCAUAUCAGAAAGCUGAAGACAAACAGGAGGGAAUUCAGUGAGAACGAGAAGAAUAAUUAAACAUCUGUACAGAAUGACCAGCUGUACGGAAGAUGAUUCGAAGUAAACUAUACUUGGAAACACCAGUGCCACAGAGCAACUAGCGAUGUUGGGUGACCUUCCACAACGGAUUGGCAAAUUCCUUCAACACAAGUUUGUGAAUCUGUGCCCACAGAAUGAAGCCAUCGAUCACCUUUUAGAAGGUAAUCAACUUUUGCAGGAGAACUUGGAGAAAGAUGACUUGAAAAAUAAGGCGGGAAAGAGCAUUCUAAAAGAGCUUGUGUGAUACAUGAAGAGAGAGGGGACUCGCUCCCUUUGAUGGACACCCAGCCAGCCAGUUAGCUGUAAA